rnacentral:rRNA from 1 species
UACGGAAGGCAGCAGUGGGGAAUAUUGCACAAUGGGCGCAAGCCUGAUGCAGCCAUGCCGCGUGUAUGAAGAAGGCCUUCGGGUUGUAAAGUACUUUCAGCGGGGAGGAAGGCGAUGCGGUUAAUAACCGCGUCGAUUGACGUUACCCGCAGAAGAAGCACCGGCUAACUCCGUGCCAGCAGCCGCGGUAAUACGGAGGGUGCAAGCGUUAAUCGGAAUUACUGGGCGUAAAGCGCACGCAGGCGGUCUGUUAAGUCAGAUGUGAAAUCCCUGGGCUUAACCUGGGAACUGCAUUUUGAAACUGGCAGGCUUGAGUCUUGUAGAGGGGGUAGAAUUCCAGGUGUAGCGGUGAAAUGCGUAGAGAUCUGGAGGAAUACCGGUGGCGAAGGCGGGCCCCUGGGACAAAGACUGACGCUCAGGGUGCGAAAGCGUGGGGAGCGAAACAGGGAUUAGGAUAA